rnacentral:lncRNA from 1 species
UAUAGGAGAGAAGAUAAAAUAAUUGUUUCGACACAACAUGUUUCGAAAAAAUAAAAUAUGAAUUCUUAGUAGGUGUAUUAACUGGGUAUAAAAUCAAAACUCGCUUUCUCCAUCCAUGGCCGAAAUUAAGAUGUUCAAGUGACUCCUGUAGGACCUGGUAAAAAGGCAAGGAAAAGAACACCGAUGCAAAAUGAAU